AAAAAAGAAAAAAAAAAAAAAGAAAAAGAAAAAGAAAGCCUGGUAUUUGCUUCCUUCUUGGUGCUUGCUUUCUUCUUUUCAGCUCUUAACAAUUUACAAUUCAUUAUCGGAUAAUAUUAACAAUGCUCGCACCUCGGCUCUGCGUCCGUUCGGUCUUCGGCUCCGGCACUUUUGCCGAUCAUAGUAAUACGAGCCGCUCCAAUUCUAGCUCCAUCCCUAGCACGAUCCGGUUUGGUUUUGGUGCCCAUCGCUGUCGUAGGCCCCAUCCGGUCCUCUUCGUUUCUUGUAACUCUUCCCGCGGAAGCGGAGCCUCCAGAUCCACCAAUGCCGACGAUGAUGGCCACCGCCAGUUUUUCGAAGCUUCUCUCCUCCUCUCAGAAACGAUGUUGCAUUACCAGAUGCGGAGGCACGGAUUUCAAGUGGACAUGAAAUGGAAAUCCCCUGGUCAGUUGACCUCAAUGCCAGGGAAAAAACCCCAAAUUGGUAUCGAUUUAAUCGGAGAGGGUCUUCUCCACCGCUUUAAGAGUCCUACAAUCUUUCUCAAGAUUUCUUGUGAUGGAGAUUUUUUGCUACCAAUUAUUGUAGGGGAAUUUGCUGUUGAAAAACUUAUAGAGUCGCAAUGGGAAGAUAGGAAUGGAGAUUUCCCAGAUCAGUUCCAGCUUUUCAGAGAUCUUGUGGAAAAGCUUGGCUAUGAAGUUAAUAUGGUGAAAAUCACGGAAAGAGUGAUUCAUACUUACUUUGCCAGACUAUAUUUUAGCAAGCGUGGAAAAAAUGACAUUCUUAGUGUGGAUGCACGUCCCUCAGAUGCCAUAAAUGUGGCACAUAGAUGUAAGGCACCGAUAUAUGUAAGUAGAGAAAUUGUCUUGACAGAUGCUAUUAGAAUUGGUUAUGGGAUGGGAAGGAUGCGUGAUGCUAAGCCGACUUAUGAUGUAUCUCUCGACAGUGCUGCAGAUGGUCCAGAUGUACUAUCUGAGGAACUUGAUUUGGUGAAGAAUAUGGAUUUGGCGGUCAAAGAAGAAAGGUACAAGGAUGCAGAAUCCUGCUCAUAAGUUUGAGAAUCAGUUAUGAUUGAUGAUUGGUUCCUGCAGCCAUGUGGCGAGACAAACUAGUGAAACUUCGAGAGUCAAUACAUGAACAUUGACCAAUAUAAUCAGGAACGCUUGGAGGAAUUGAUUCAUGAUGAAAUUUCUAAAUUAUGGUAUGUACAGCUUUCUCAAAGGAUUGAUGCACGAGGAAACCUCAAAACUAUCACAUGUACAGCUUCAACUUUAUACAUAUUGUCCUUUUAGGCAGAUUUAAAAUCAUCUAUUCAAUCAACUUAUAAAAGAAAAAAAAAUCACGUAUUCAAUCAAAUUGUCCUAGACAUGAAGAUGAUCCAAACUCUCUCCCGGAGAUGUAAUUUUCAAAGUGAAGUACAAAUUGUUGUGUAUAAUUCAUAGCAAAUGGCGGAUGACAAGAAAGAUAAUCUUCCCCUUGUAUCAAAUUGAAUGUUGUGUACAA